GGUGAAGUAGGACAUGGAUCUGGUGUCCAAGGACAGAGGAGGCAGAGCCUGUGGGGGAAGGGGACAGGAGCUACACAGGCCAGAGUGCUUGGACUUUGGACCCCUGAAGCUACUGAGAGGGACAGUCACUGGCCCCUGGAUAGGCAGGUGUCAGACUUGCCACAUGGAGGUGGUAAGGCUGGACUGAACUGAUGGUAAGCAGCAGGUCUGCUUGGAGGAGGAAUCCCUGCCUGCCCCGCCCCCCCCUCUUGAAACUGGGAGGGAGGGCUGUUUGCUGAGCCCAGACCCACCAGGUGAGUCAUGGGCCCCCUGGGGAGAGAGACCUGCAGGAGAUUGGUCAGUUGGGCACUGCUGAGUCACUGUGAGCUCUAGCUGUCCCAAGUCCUGCCUGCUCCUAGCUGGGGCUGGCUGGGGUGGGUCCUGGAGGCCAGUGCAGCCAGGCCGUGAAGGGCAGCAGUGGGGUUGGGGGCACUAGGCUCUGGGAGACACGGGGGAGGGUUGGGGCCUCAAGGCUAGUGGGGCUCAGGGUUUUGGGUCUGUGGCAGGCGGGACCACAGGCUGGGGCUCAGGAUUCUGGGGGUGUGUUGGGGGUGCUGAUAGGCUCCUGUGGGCUAGGGCUACUAGGUGGCUAGGACUAUAGGGUGCCAGGAACAAGCCUGAGUUCAGGCACCUGUGAACAGAAAAAGGAAGCGAGUCAACAUCCCUGAGCUCCGAAAUAAUUGGCCUCCAAAAUAAUUGGCAGUGGCUUGAGAAACCCUGUGGAGGUGGGCUUCACAAGUCAUAUGGGAAUAGAUCUCCUUCACGUCGCGUCGCAUGUUGAGCUCGAGGAACUGCACCUUGAUGUAGUUGCCCGCGUCCUCAAAACGUCCUUCUUAUUGAGGAAGAGCACAAUGGACGUGGUGGCGAAGUAGCGGUGGUUGCAGAUGCUGUUGAACAGGACUGUCUCCGGCUUUCCCCUUAAGCACUCAGGCCCUCCUUGGCACCCACCACUUCGUCGUCCUCCACCAGCACCAUGUCGUAGGCGCUCAGGGCCGCGAUGAAGAUGAUGCAGGUCACACCCUCGAAGCAGUGGAU